AUUCAGUUGACAAGUCCCACAUAGGACGAAACACGCGUCAAACUGGAU
rfam:Schistosoma mattheei strain Denwood, Zambia genome assembly, scaffold: SMTD_contig0024986